rnacentral:lncRNA from 1 species
CGGAGAUUCAGGUUCUUCUGUGAUGUCAGUGGUAGGUUAGGCUUGUGUUCGAUGACGUCAUGGGCGCUCUUCCCACCACCCAGCGACCUAGGAGGGAUCAGUGAGAGGCGCAUGGAAAGCUUUGUGCAUCCUUCCGUCAAGAUGACAGGGCCACGCGGCGUCACCCUGGCCCUAGCAAAGGUUAUCGCUGGCUGGAGACGGAAAGGUCGGGCUGGCGCCAGGAGAUAGCGACGUCG